rnacentral:rRNA from 1 species
UACAGAGGUCUCAAGCGUUGUUCGGAUUCAUUGGGCGUAAAGGGUGCGUAGGCGGCGCGGUAAGUCGGGUGUGAAAUCUCGGGGCUUAACUCCGAAACUGUAUUCGAUACUGCCGUGCUUGAGGACUGGAGAGGAGACUGGAAUUUACGGUGUAGCGGUGAAAUGCGUAGAUAUCGUAAGGAAGACCAGUGGCGAAGGCGGGUCUCUGGGCUGACACUGACGCUCAUGCACGAAAGCGUGGGGAGCGAACAGG